rnacentral:pre_miRNA from 1 species
CUCCUUCAGGAAGCUGGUUUCAUAUGGUGGUUUAGAUUUAACUACUUAUUGUCUAGCACCAUUUGAAAUCAGUGUUCUUGGAGGAAGAAU